rnacentral:rRNA from 1 species
AACGAACGCUGGCGGCAGGCUUAACACAUGCAAGUCGAACGCCCCGCAAGGGGAGUGGCAGACGGGUGCGUAGCGCGUGGGAAUCUACCGUACCCUACGGAACAACAGUUGGAAACGACGGCUAAUACAGUAUACGCCCUACGGGGGAAAGAUUGAUCGGGGUAGGAUGUGCACGCGUGGGUUUAGCUAGUUGGUGGGGUAAAGGCCUACCAAGGCGACGAUCCAUAGCUGGUCUGAGAGGAUGAUCAGCCACAUUGGGACUGAGACACGGCCCAAACUCCUACGGGAGGCAGCAGUGGGGAAUAUUGGACAAUGGGCGCAAGCCUGAUCCAGCCAUGCCGCGUGAGUGAUGAAGGUCUUAGGAUUGUAAAGCUCUUUCACCGAUGAAGAUAAUGACGGUAGUCGGAGAAGAAGCCCCGGCUAACUUCGUGCCAGCAGCCGCGGUAA